rnacentral:rRNA from 1 species
UACGUAGGGUCCGAGCGUUGUCCGGAAUUACUGGGCGUAAAGAGCUCGUAGGUGGUUUGUCGCGUUGUCCGUGAAAACUCACAGCUUAACUGUGGGCGUGCGGGCGAUACGGGCAUCACUGGAGUUCGGCAGGGGAGACUGGAAUUCCUGGUGUAGCGGUGAAAUGCGCAGAUAUCAGGAAGAACACCCGUGGCGAAGGCGGUUCUCUGGGACGGUACUGACGCUGAGACGCGAAAGCGUGGGGAGCGAACAGG